rnacentral:rRNA from 1 species
AACGAACGCUGGCGGCGCGCCUAAUACAUGCAAGUCGAGCGAGAAGACGUAGCAAUACGUUUGUAAAGCGGCGAACGGGUGAGGAAUACAUGGGUAACCUACCCUCGAGUGGGGAAUAACUAGCCGAAAGGUUAGCUAAUACCGCGUACGCUCCUUGGACUUCGGUUCAGGGAGGAAAGCGAUACCGCGGGUAUCGCGCUCUUGGAUGGGCUCAUGUCCUAUCAGCUUGUUGGUGAGGAACGGCUCACCAAGGCUUCGACGGGUAGCUGGUCUGAGAGGACGAUCAGCCACACUGGCACUGCGACACGGGCCAGACUCCUACGGGAGGCAGCAGUAAGGAAUAUUGCGCAAUGGGCGAAAGCCUGACGCAGCGACGCCGCGUGGGGGAUGAAGGUCUUCGGAUUGUAAACCCCUUUCGGGAGGGAAGACGGAACGAGCAAUCGUUCGGACGGUACCUCCAGAAGCAGCCACGGCUAACUUCGUGCCAGCCGCCGCGGU